rnacentral:rRNA from 1 species
UACGAAGGGGGCUAGCGUUGUUCGGAUUUACUGGGCGUAAAGCGCACGUAGGCGGAUCGUUAAGUCGGGGGUGAAAUCCUGGAGCUCAACUCCAGAACUGCCUUCGAUACUGGCGAUCUUGAGUCCGGAAGAGGUGAGUGGAACUCCUAGUGUAGAGGUGGAAUUCGUAGAUAUUAGGAAGAACACAGUGGCGAAGGCGGCUCACUGGUCCGGUACUGACGCUGAGGUGCGAAAGCGUGGGGAGCAAACAGGG